GUUGAGUAAUCCAGGCUCGGAAUGAACGCUAGAAAUUUCCAUAACACAUGCGAGUUGAACGAAAUGAUAAUUUAGUAGCAGACGGGUGAGUAAUAUAUCAAAGUUUACAAAUUAGUUAGGUUAAAUACCUUAUAUUAAAAAAAAGGAUGUAUUCGCUAAUAAAUAAAUUGGUACAGGAUUAAAUAGUUGGUGUGGUAAAAGCAUCCCAAGUUUAUGAUUUUUAGUUGAUUUGAGAGAUAGAUCAGCCACAUUAGAACUGAGAAAGGUCUAAACUCCAGAACCUUGGGGUCAGCAGUGUGGAAUUUUGGGCAAUGGGCGAAAGCUUGACCUGGGGAAGUUUGGUGGGUGACUUGAAGGUAUUGCUGUAAAACUCUUUCGCCGUAAGAAUAUAAUGAAAGUAUUCGGAGUAAGAAGUCCUGACUAAAAUUCGUGCCAGAAGUCUCGGUAAUGCGGUUAGGGCAAGCGUUAUUCUACAUGAUUGGGCGUAAAGGGUACGUAGGCAGUUUUUUUUAAUUUUUAGUGAAAACCUAAAUUAAUAAUUUAGGAAUAUUAUUGAUAUUGUUAAACUUGAGAUAAGAAGGGGAAGAUAGAAUUUUUGAUGAAGGGGUCGAAUCCUAACAUAUUAAAAGGAAUACCGGGGGUGAAGACGGUUUUCUGGUCUUAUCUGACGCUGAUGUACGGAAGCAUAGGUAGCAAACAGGAUUUGAUACCCUGGUAGUCUAUGCCGUAAAUGAUGAGUAUUAAAUAUUGGAUGAAUAUUCAGUGUUAAAGCUAACGCGUUAAAUACUCCGCCUGAGGAGUACGGCCGCAAGGUUGAAACUUAAAGGAGAAGUCGGGGACUAUUACUAACGGUGGAGCAUGUGUUUUAAUCUGAUGAUCCGCGUAGAACCUUACCAGUACAAAAGGUGUUGCAUGGCUGUCGUCAGCUUGUGUUUUGAAAUCACGGUUAAUUUCUAACAACAAGCGUGACCCGUUUUUUAUUUACUAUUAGCUUUAGGGCAAAGAACUAUAAAAGACUGACGUUUAAUAAACGAAGGAAGGGGCGGAUGACGUCAAGUCGUUAUGGCCCAUAAUGUAUUGGGCUACAUAUGUGCUACAAUGAAAAAAAACAAUAAGAAGCAAAAAGUAAAUUGGAGCAAAUCUAUAAAAUUUUUCUUAGUACAGAUUAUUUUCUGAAAUUCGAAAAUAUGAAGGAGAAAUCGUCAGUAAUCGUAGAUCAGCACGCUACGGUGAAUAUGUUCUUUAGUCUUGUACAGACCGCCUGUCACGUCCUUGAAAUGAGCUUGCAUAAAGUUGGCGUCUUUAUUAUAUUAAGUUCUUAAUAUAAUUUUAACCUAAUGUGCGUGGGUAGUAACGAGGACGAAGUCAUAACAAGGUAACUGUAAGGGAACUUGUAGUUG
rnacentral:rRNA from 1 species